rnacentral:tRNA from 1 species
UGACGUGUAGCUCAGCAGGUAGAGCGCUUGGCCGUUAACCAAGAUGUCGCGGGUUCAAGUCCCGCCGCGCCAG